CAGUUUCUAGAAGAGGAAGAGGAGGCCAGGGAUGGCUGCACUGUGGGAGGAACAGAAGCAGAAGAGUCAGAGGAUGAAGGAGAAGAUGGAGUCUCUGAGUAGACAGAUAGCAGCUCUUUCAGACACAGUCAGAGCCACAGAGGAGCAGCUGAGAGCUGAAGACGUCUCAUUCCUGAUCAACUACAAGGCUGGCAGUGGAAAGAGUCCAGCAGCACCCCCCGGCUGGGUGAUCCACAGCUGCUCCCAGGAGCUCUGAUAGACGAGGCCAAACACCUGGGCAACCUGAGCUUCAACAUCUGGAACAAGAUGAAGGACUUAGUUUCCUACACACCUCUAAUUCUGGACCUAAACACUGCUUAUCCAAAAAACAUCCUGUCUUGAAGAUCUGACCAGUGUGAGACGAGGAGAACAGCAGCUCCCCGAUAAUCCAGAGAGAUUGGAUUACUACUGUGGUGUCCUGGGCUCUGAGGGCUUUAACUCAGGGACUCACAGCUGGGAUGCCGAUGUUGGAAACAAUACACUCUGGGAACUGGGUGUGUUAGCAGAGUCUAUCCAGAGGAAGGGAAAAAUACGGUCUGGAAUAUGGAGCAUAGUGUUCAUUAAAGGUAAAUACUUAGCACGGUCACAACCAGAUCCAGACACUGUUCUCGUGUGGGAAGAAUCCCCAGAGGGUCCAGUGACUCUGGACUGGAACAGAGGAAAGCUGUCGUUCUAUGAUCUUGGUACUAACACACUCAUACACACCUUCACACACACUUUCACUGAGAGGCUGUUUCCAUUGUUUGACACUAGGGGAAGUGAAGGUUUUACCACUGAAGGUCUGUGUGACUGUAGAACAGAAAUAGAUGAUGGUGAUGAACAUGAAUCAAGAAUCAGUUUAAUUCUGGGAUAAAAAACAACAACUUUUUAUAUUAAGAGUCAAAUAUUUUAUUAACAGCAAAUAUUAUAAACUGUCAAAAAUCAGUCUGUUUAUUUGUUUGUCUGUCAUCAGAAUAACAGAAUAAAUAUUGCCCCGAUUUUCAUCAUGUAACUUGGUGGAAGAGUGUAGCAUGGGCUGAUAUAAAAACCCAUUACAUUUUGAUCUGAAUCCGGGGCAGAUACACAAAUUAUUUAUUCAUUAACAUUGCGAGCUACAGCGUUUGUGUUGCAUUCAAGUGGUGUAGGAAUUAUUGGAAAAAAUAGUUCCUGACUGGGAAAAAUGACACUGCAUUAACAUUAUGAGAUAAAGCAUUCCUUGGGGAAGGUCUGUGCUCUCCGAGUGCUCUUCUAGCUAAACUUAUUAACCAUCCUGUUGUCCUCGGGUCAAAUUUGACCCAUUUUCAAAAAGUUUCUAUAUCAGAAAUGUGGUUUACUUUCAACCAAAUUUUAAAACAAAAUAACGUGGAUGGUUCCAUCACCGCUCUUCUCAAGUUAAAUAAAUGUUCAGUUCACAACUUUUAUUGACUUUGGGCGUUUUAUUCAAUUUUAUUAGCCUGACAAGCCAGACUGUUGUGUUUUCUGUGGAGUUGUUAUGUUAGAAAAGUUAUUUAUUGUUAUGCCUAAUUAAUUACAUCGAUCAAUCAAAUUGUUUACCUUAAACCAGAGCUAGUGACAUUUAUAGAAGAACGUUUGCGGUGUAGCAGCCAAAUAGAGUAGUGCCUCUUUAAGAGGAGUGUGCUGUGAGUACUAGGCUACAGGUGACCGGUGAUUACUCCGUGAAAAGGAAGCACGAGAUUCAUGCAGUCUGUGAUGACUGUCAACCCGGUGUGCAGCCACUUGGUUUAUUACCUGGUUUCCCUUUGUGAAUACAAGAAAUUAAACAAACAAAUGUGGAAUACCGAGGUAGAGCCAGUUGAGGUGGUUCGGGC